AAAAAUUACACAGUUGACAUUGUUGUUGCAUGGUAUACUGUGAACCUUGUGAUGUUCUACGUUGACAGCAGACUUCCAGAAAUGGCUGAGCGUUCUAGUGGACCUUCUCAGACGCCUUUACUUCCACUAAGUACAA